UAACGCGUGGGUAACCUGCCCUGUACACACGGAUAACAUACCGAAAGGUAUGCUAAUACGAGAUAAAAUACUUUUAUCGCAUGGUAGAAGUAUCAAAGCUUUUGCGGUACAGGAUGGACCCGCGUCUGAUUAGCUAGUUGGUAAGGUAACGGCUUACCAAGGCGACGAUCAGUAGCCGACCUGAGAGGGUGAUCGGCCACAUUGGAACUGAGACACAGUCCAAACUCCUACGGGAGGCAGCAGUGGGGAAUAUUGCACAAUGGGCGAAAGCCUGAUGCAGCAACGCCGCGUGAGCGAUGAAGGCCUUCGGGUCGUAAAGCUCUGUCCUCAAGGAAGAUAAUGACGGUACUUGAGGAGGAAGCCCCGGCUAACUACGUGCCAGCAGCCGCGGUAAUACGUAGGGGGCUAGCGUUAUCCGGAAUUACUGGGCGUAAAGGGUGCGUAGGUGGUUUCUUAAGUCAGAGGUGAAAGGCUACGGCUCAACCGUAGUAAGCCUUUGAAACUGGGGAACUUGAGUGCAGGAGAGGAGAGUGGAAUUCCUAGUGUAGCGGUGAAAUGCGUAGAUAUUAGGAGGAACACCAGUUGCGAAGGCGGCUCUCUGGACUGUAACUGACACUGAGGCACGAAAGCGUGGAGAGCAAACAGGAUUAGAUACCCUGGUAGUCCACGCCGUAAACGAUGAGUACUAGCUGU
rnacentral:rRNA from 1 species